rnacentral:rRNA from 1 species
UAAGCGUACACGGUGGAUGCCCUGGCAGUCAGAGGCGAUGAAGGACGUGCUAAUCUGCGAUAAGCGUCGGUAAGGUGAUAUGAACCGUUAUAACCGGCGAUUUCCGAAUGGGGAAACCCAGUGUGUUUCGACACACUAUCAUUAACUGAAUCCAUAGGUUAAUGAGGCGAACCGGGGGAACUGAAACAUCUAAGUACCCCGAGGAAAAGAAAUCAACCGAGAUUCCCCCAGUAGCGGCGAGCGAACGGGGAGGAGCCCAGAGCCUGAAUCAGUGUGUGUGUUAGUGGAAGCGUCUGGAAAGGCGCGCGAUACAGGGUGACAGCCCCGUACACAAAAAUGCACAUGCUGUGAGCUCGAUGAGUAGGGCGGGACACGUGGUAUCCUGUCUGAAUAUGGGGGGACCAUCCUCCAAGGCUAAAUACUCCUGACUGACCGAUAGUGAACCAGUACCGUGAGGGAAAGGCGAAAAGAACCCCGGCGAGGGGAGUGAAAAAGAACCUGAAACCGUGUACGUACAAGCAGUGGGAGCACAGAGCAAUCUGUGUGACUGCGUACCUUUUGUAUAAUGGGUCAGCGACUUAUAUUCUGUAGCAAGGUUAACCGAAUAGGGGAGCCGAAGGGAAACCGAGUCUUAACUGGGCGUUAAGUUGCAGGGUAUAGACCCGAAACCCGGUGAUCUAGCCAUGGGCAGGUUGAAGGUUGGGUAACACUAACUGGAGGACCGAACCGACUAAUGUUGAAAAAUUAGCGGAUGACUUGUGGCUGGGGGUGAAAGGCCAAUCAAACCGGGAGAUAGCUGGUUCUCCCCGAAAGCUAUUUAGGUAGCGCCUCGUGAAUUCAUCUCCGGGGGUAGAGCACUGUUUCGGCAAGGGGGUCAUCCCGACUUACCAACCCGAUGCAAACUGCGAAUACCGGAGAAUGUUAUCACGGGAGACACACGGCGGGUGCUAACGUCCGUCGUGAAGAGGGAAACAACCCAGACCGCCAGCUAAGGUCCCAAAGUCAUGGUUAAGUGGGAAACGAUGUGGGAAGGCCCAGACAGCCAGGAUGUUGGCUUAGAAGCAGCCAUCAUUUAAAGAAAGCGUAAUAGCUCACUGGUCGAGUCGGCCUGCGCGGAAGAUGUAACGGGGCUAAACCAUGCACCGAAGCUGCGGCAGCGACGCUGAUGCGUUGUUGGGUAGGGGAGCGUUCUGUAAGCCUGUGAAGGUGUGCUGUGAGGCAUGCUGGAGGUAUCAGAAGUGCGAAUGCUGACAUAAGUAACGAUAAAGCGGGUGAAAAGCCCGCUCGCCGGAAGACCAAGGGUUCCUGUCCAACGUUAAUCGGGGCAGGGUGAGUCGACCCCUAAGGCGAGGCCGAAAGGCGUAGUCGAUGGGAAACAGGUUAAUAUUCCUGUACUUGGUGUUACUGCGAAGGGGGGACGGAGAAGGCUAUGUUGGCCGGGCGACGGUUGUCCCGGUUUAAGCGUGUAGGCUGGUUUUCCAGGCAAAUCCGGAAAACUAAGGCUGAGGCGUGAUGACGAGGCACUACGGUGCUGAAGCAACAAAUGCCCUGCUUCCAGGAAAAGCCUCUAAGCAUCAGGUAACAUCAAAUCGUACCCCAAACCGACACAGGUGGUCAGGUAGAGAAUACCAAGGCGCUUGAGAGAACUCGGGUGAAGGAACUAGGCAAAAUGGUGCCGUAACUUCGGGAGAAGGCACGCUGAUAUGUAGGUGAAGUCCCUCGCGGAUGGAGCUGAAAUCAGUCGAAGAUACCAGCUGGCUGCAACUGUUUAUUAAAAACACAGCACUGUGCAAACACGAAAGUGGACGUAUACGGUGUGACGCCUGCCCGGUGCCGGAAGGUUAAUUGAUGGGGUCAGCGCAAGCGAAGCUCUUGAUCGAAGCCCCGGUAAACGGCGGCCGUAACUAUAACGGUCCUAAGGUAGCGAAAUUCCUUGUCGGGUAAGUUCCGACCUGCACGAAUGGCGUAAUGAUGGCCAGGCUGUCUCCACCCGAGACUCAGUGAAAUUGAACUCGCUGUGAAGAUGCAGUGUACCCGCGGCAAGACGGAAAGACCCCGUGAACCUUUACUAUAGCUUGACACUGAACAUUGAGCCUUGAUGUGUAGGAUAGGUGGGAGGCUUUGAAGUGUGGACGCCAGUCUGCAUGGAGCCGACCUUGAAAUACCACCCUUUAAUGUUUGAUGUUCUAACGUUGACCCGUAAUCCGGGUUGCGGACAGUGUCUGGUGGGUAGUUUGACUGGGGCGGUCUCCUCCUAAAGAGUAACGGAGGAGCACGAAGGUUGGCUAAUCCUGGUCGGACAUCAGGAGGUUAGUGCAAUGGCAUAAGCCAGCUUGACUGCGAGCGUGACGGCGCGAGCAGGUGCGAAAGCAGGUCAUAGUGAUCCGGUGGUUCUGAAUGGAAGGGCCAUCGCUCAACGGAUAAAAGGUACUCCGGGGAUAACAGGCUGAUACCGCCCAAGAGUUCAUAUCGACGGCGGUGUUUGGCACCUCGAUGUCGGCUCAUCACAUCCUGGGGCUGAAGUAGGUCCCAAGGGUAUGGCUGUUCGCCAUUUAAAGUGGUACGCGAGCUGGGUUUAGAACGUCGUGAGACAGUUCGGUCCCUAUCUGCCGUGGGCGCUGGAGAACUGAGGGGGGCUGCUCCUAGUACGAGAGGACCGGAGUGGACGCAUCACUGGUGUUCGGGUUGUCAUGCCAAUGGCACUGCCCGGUAGCUAAAUGCGGAAGAGAUAAGUGCUGAAAGCAUCUAAGCACGAAACUUGCCCCGAGAUGAGUUCUCCCUGACUCCUUGAGAGUCCUGAAGGAACGUUGAAGACGACGACGUUGAUAGGCCGGAUGUGUAAGCGCAGCGAUGCGUUGAGCUAACCGGUACUAAUGAACCGUGAGGCUUAACCUUACAACGCCGAAGCUGUU